rnacentral:lncRNA from 1 species
UAAAAUGAUAACGUGUUCGAUGAUAUAAUCGGGGAGAACUUUUUGGUUGCCAUAAAAGCAAUUCACAAGGUAUGUCCAUUCCGUAUAUGAUUUGAGUUUUACUUUAUAGCUGCAAGUAACUUGACUUGCAAGUUACAUCUAUGUUUGCAGGCUGAGAUCGAGCACUACUGCGAGGACAAGGAGGCUUACAAGCAAAUGAUAUACCUUUACUAGUCUUUUUCGAAUUCCUGUUCCGAUUUACAAACCAACUCACCUGCCAAAUCGUUAAUCAACGGGUCCUCUUGUAGUUCCGGUGACGAAUAAUAACCGGUCUACAAUUGAAAUUUCGAAUAAUUCAUUUUGAUAUAAUCUCAAAAUUUAAAACAUCGUCCAAUACUUUAGAAUAGCAAAACACAGAAAUAGGAAUUAAAAGGUUUACAAAAGAUACAAGUGCACAAGCCCAAGCCCAUUUCAGCCCAUAGAUGAACGAGAUAGGCUAAAGUAUAAGCCUGCAAAGAAACAAGAAACGAUACAAAUAUGAAUUCAACUUUGAACUUUUUUUUCUAAGGAGUUUCGGAGUGAAGAGGAUUAUAAACACUCAACUCGAAUUUCAUUCUAUGAAAUUUGAGAUACUAAUUUCAUCUUAUUCCUUCUCGAUCCUGAUAAUUAACACACCGUACUCGUAAUAUGCACAAUUGCGAUUUUCGUAAAUUUACGUAUCAAAUUCCACAUUGAUAGACUCAGCCAUUCAACAUCCAGUAUAGUUGGUCAAAAAUUCUAAAAUACAACUAACAUGGAUGGUUUUUCUGUCUUGAAUUGCUGGUUUCACCUAUAUUCGGUCUCUGAACACAAAAAGAUACCAGCAGUUGUUUUGUACUUUUGUUAAGUGCCAAAAACAAGUGCCGCAAAGGAGCUAAUCUAGUACCGAUUUCUAACUUUUAUCCUCAAAGCCCCAGCUAGAUUAAUCACUAAGCAGACCAAUAACAACGUUCAGAAUCUAACUCAGUUGAUCAUAUAAACAGUGGAACAGCUUAUAAAAGGUUGGUCUUUGUCUGUGUGAAACCUGCGAUUCUAACAUAUACGUAAUGAAACUAGCGACCAUCUGUACGACGUUGUUGCUGUUGCUAAUAAUACUGCCAGAUUUCUGCAGUGUUAAAGCACAAGAAGAUGAUUCAGUGAGUCAUGCCUUGGGGCGGUUCUCCGAACCACAGAGCCACAACCUUAGGCGAGGCCGACGGCCCAGACUGCCUCCUUUCCGGUCCGGUCCGUGGCAGAGAGCUCACGCCACAUUCUAUGAAGGCAACACCAGAACUUAUGGUAUUACAAUUUCAAUUUAAACGGAUUAGCUCGAGUAUAUGUCUCCUUAGUAAACUCAAAUAUAUGCGUCCUUGUUUCAUUUCUCCACGGUCUUUUUAGUGCAAUCACUCUGUCCAUAUGAGAAAUUUGUGAGAUGACUCGCGUUCGAGAGUCAACUCGAAUACUAACUCGAAUAUAUUCCUCGUUAGUGAACUCAAUAAUACAACGUGUAUUUUAUCUGGAGUACUAUAUACAAUUAGUCAUAUGUAAUUUGUAAUUGUUCUACUCAAAAUGCAAGUGGCUAUAUUAUUUAGAUUUAACUAUUUUAUUUGAGAAAAAUAAAAACCUGUAAAAUUUAGAAUAGUUUGUUUUUCCCGACUCCUUGAUGUUUUUAGCAUACAAAUUUCAAAUUCAACUUAAAAUAAACUCAUCGAAAACUUUUAAUGAGGGUUGAAGUUCGAGUGGCUCAUCAAGGAUAGUUGACGAAUCAGGUUCAAACUCAAUCCGAGCUAAAAUUCUCGAGUUCGAGCUCAGCUAAAAGAUAACGAGCCAAAUUUGAGUAAAGUUCGGCUCGGCUUGGUCUGAACAACCUACGAUAACUAAUGCGUCCUUGGUUCAAUCAAAUUAUUAACUAACUAGGCCGGGAUGAUAUUGGUACCUGCGACGGUGACUCAUUAUUCACGAACUUGAUUUGACAGGCGGCGCGUGCGACUACACGGACGUGGUGGGGGAAGGGUACGGGAUGAACACGGCGGCGCUGAGCAACGCUCUCUUCCGAGACGG